GGAAGUAUACCCAAGUCUCGGUUGAAGGGGGCGGUCUCGAAAACCGUUAGAUGGAGUAAUCCAUGCAAGAGUUCGAAUCUCUUUACUUCCG
rnacentral:tRNA from 1 species